AGUGAACGCUGGCGGUAGGCCUAACACAUGCAAGUCGAACGGCAGCACAGUAAGAGCUUGCUCUUACGGGUGGCGAGUGGCGGACGGGUGAGGAAUACAUCGGAAUCUACUUUUUCGUGGGGGAUAACGUAGGGAAACUUACGCUAAUACCGCAUACGACCUACGGGUGAAAGCAUGGGAUCUUCGGACCUUGCGCGAUUGAAUGAGCCGAUGUCGGAUUAGCUAGUUGGCGGGGUAAAGGCCCACCAAGGCGACGCUCCGUAGCUGGUCUGAGAGGAUGAUCAGCCACCCUGGAACUGAGACACGGUCCAGACUCCUACGGGAGGCAGCAGUGGGGAAUAUUGGACAAUGGGCGCAAGCCUGAUCCAGCCAUACCGCGUGGGUGAAGAAGGCCUUCGGGUUGUAAAGCCCUUUUGUUGGGAAAGAAAAGCAGCAGGUUAAUACCCCGCUGUUCUGACGGUACCCAAAGAAUAAGCACCGGCUAACUUCGUG
rnacentral:rRNA from 1 species